AUCGCUUCUCGGCCUUUUGGCUAAGAUCAAGUGUAGUAUCUGUUCUUAUCAGUUUAAUAAAAUCUCAGUGUCCACAUGGCAAGCUCAUCUUAUUGCUGGUUAUGUAAAUUGAUUAUUUCAAAGAAGUUUUACAAUAUAGAUCCGCCAACAACACAAGAACAUAU
rnacentral:snRNA from 1 species